GCCUAAUUCGCAGCCUGAUCAGCCAUGCCGCGUGAGUGAGAAGGCCUUCGGGUUGUAAAGCUCUUUCGGCCGGGAAGAAAUCGGCGACUCUAACAUAGUCGCUGGAUGACGGUACCGGACUAAGAAGCACCGGCUAACUACGUGCCAGCAGCCGCGGUAAUA
rnacentral:rRNA from 1 species